rnacentral:rRNA from 1 species
ACCAGACUCCUACGGGAGGCAGCAGUGGGGGAUAUUGCACAAUGGGGGAAACCCUGAUGCAGCGACGCCGCGUGAGUGAAGAAGUAUUUCGGUAUGUAAAGCUCUCUCAGCAGGGAAGAAAAUGACAGUACCUGACCAAGAAGCCCCGGCUAACUACGUGCCAGCAGCCGCGGUAAUACGUAGGGGGCAAGCGUUAUCCGGAUUUACUGGGUGUAAGGGGAGCGCAGGCGGCCUGGCAAGCCUGAUGUGAAAUACCGGGGCCCAACCCCGGGGCUGCAUUGGGAACUGCCAGGCUGGAGUGCCGGAGAGGCAGGCGGAAUUCCUAGUGUAGCGGUGAAAUGCGUAGAUAUUAGGAGGAACACCAGUGGCGAAGGCGGCCUGCUGGACGGUGACUGACGCUGAGGCUCGAAAGCGUGGGGAGCAAACAGGAUUAGAUACCCCAGUAA